rnacentral:rRNA from 1 species
AGUGAACACUGGCGGCGUGCCUAAUACAUGCAAGUCGAACGGAGUGCCGCACGGGUGAGUAAUAUAUAGCUAAUCUUCCCCUUGCUGGAGGACAACAGUCAGAAAUGACUGCUAAUACCCCAUAGCAAUGCAUGAGACUAUAUCGUAUCAGCUAGUCGGUGGGGUAACGGCCUACCGAGGGUAUGACGCCUAACUUGUCUGAGAGGAUGCUCAGUAGCAUUGGAACGGAGACACGGUCCAGACUCCUUCGGGAGGCGGCAGUAGGGUGUAUUGCGCAAUGGGGGUAGCCCUGGCGCAUCUUCGCGGCGUGGAGGAUGUUACUUUUCGGAGAGUAAACUCCUUUUGUUAGGGAAGCGGUACCUGACGAAUAAGCACCGGCUAACUCCGUGCCAGCCGCCGCGGUAAUAC